rnacentral:rRNA from 1 species
CCUACGUGAGGCAGCAGUGAGGAAUAUUGGUCAAUGGGCGCGAGCCUGAACCAGCCAAGUCGCGUGACGGAUGACUGCCCUACGGGUUGUAAACCUCUUUUAUAAAGGAAUAAAGUGAGGCACGUGUGCCUUUUUGUAUGUACUUUAUGAAUACGGAUCGGCUAACUCCGUGCCAGCAGCCGCGGUAAUACGGAGGAUCCGAGCGUUCUCCGGAUUUAUUGGGUUUAAAGGGAGCGGAGAUGGGUUGUUAAGUCAGUUGUGAAAGUUUGCGGCUCAACCGUAAGAUUGCAAUUGAUACUGGCAGUCUUGAGUACAGUAGAGGUAGGCGAAAUUCGUGGUGUAGCGGUGAAAGGCUUAGAUAUCACGAAGAACUCCGAUUGCGAAGGCAGCAUACUAAACUGCCACUGACAUUGAUGCUCGAAAGUGUGGGUAUCGAACAGGAUUAGAUACCCGAGUAGUC